rnacentral:rRNA from 1 species
AACGAACGCUGGCGGCAGGCUUAACACAUGCAAGUCGAACGGGUGCAGCAAUGCAUCAGUGGCAGACGGGUGAGUAACACGUGGGAACCUUCCUAGGGGUACGGAACAACUCAGGGAAACUUGAGCUAAUACCGUAUACGUCCGUAAGGAGAAAGAUUCAUCGCCCCUAGACGGGCCCGCGUCGGAUUAGGUAGUUGGUGGGGUAACGGCCUACCAAGCCUGCGAUCCGUAGCUGAUCUGAGAGGAUGAUCAGCCACACUGGGACUGAGACACGGCCCAGACUCCUACGGGAGGCAGCAGUGGGGAAUCUUGGACAAUGGGCGCAAGCCUGAUCCAGCCAUGCCGCGUGAGUGAAGAAGGCCUUAGGGUUGUAAAGCUCUUUUACCAGGGACGAUAAUGACGGUACCUGGAGAAUAAGCCCCGGCAAACUUCGUGCCAGCCGCCGCAGUAAC